rnacentral:rRNA from 1 species
AGUGAACGCUGGCGGCAGGCUUAACACAUGCAAGUCGAGCGCCCCGCAAGGGGAGCGGCAGACGGGUGAGUAACGCGUGGGAACGUACCCUUUGCUACGGAAUAGCUCCGGGAAACUGGAAUUAAUACCGUAUGUGCCCUACGGGGGAAAGAUUUAUCGGCAAAGGAUCGGCCCGCGUUGGAUUAGCUAGUUGGUGGGGUAAUGGCCUACCAAGGCGACGAUCCAUAGCUGGUCUGAGAGGAUGAUCAGCCACAUUGGGACUGAGACACGGCCCAAACUCCUACGGGAGGCAGCAGUGGGGAAUAUUGGACAAUGGGCGCAAGCCUGAUCCAGCCAUGCCGCGUGAGUGAUGAAGGCCUUAGGGUUGUAAAGCUCUUUCACCGGAGAAGAUAAUGACGGUACCUGUAGAAGAAGCCCCGGCUAACUUCGUGCCAGCCGCCGCCGUAAUAC